UACGUAGGGUGCGAGCGUUGUCCGGAUUUAUUGGGCGUAAAGAGCUCGUAGGCGGUUUGUCGCGUCGGCCGUGAAAUCUCCACGCUUAACGUGGAGCGUGCGGUCGAUACGGGCAGACUUGAGUUCGGUAGGGGAGACUGGAAUUCCUGGUGUAGCGGUGAAAUGCGCAGAUAUCAGGAGGAACACCGGUGGCGAAGGCGGGUCUCUGGGGCCGAUACUGACGCUGGAGGAGCGAAAAGCGUGGGGGAGCGAACAGG
rnacentral:rRNA from 1 species